GGCCUGAGAGGGGACGUCGCGACCCGAGU
rnacentral:sRNA from 1 species